rnacentral:rRNA from 1 species
UACGUAGGUGACAAGCGUUGUCCGGAUUUACUGGGCGUAAAGAGCGCGCAGGCGGUCGAUCAAGUCGAGUGUGAAAGCCCCCGGCUCAACUGGGGAGGGUCAUUCGAUACUGAUCGACUCGAAGGCAGGAGAGGGUAGUGGAAUUCCCGGUGUAGUGGUGAAAUGCGUAGAUAUUGGGAAGAACACCGGUGGCGAAGGCGGCUCUCUGGACCGAUACUGACGCUGAGGCGCGAAAGCGUGGGGAGCAAACAGG